GUGGGAGGGGGCUUGCUCCCGAAGGCGUCGUGUCAGGCAACACCAUCGUCACUGACUGAUUGCAUUCGGGAGCAAGCCCCCUCCCAC
rnacentral:ncRNA from 3 species